rnacentral:rRNA from 1 species
AAUCAACGCUGGCGGCGUGCCUAACACAUGCAAGUCGAACGAGAAAGUGGAGCAAUCCAUGAGUAAAGUGGCGACCGGGUGAGUAACACGUGACUAACCUGCCCUAGAGUGGGGGAUAACCUCGGGAAACCGGGGCUAAUACCGCAUAACAUCGCGAGGGGAAGAUCCUUGCGAUCAAAGGAGCAAUUCGCUCAAGGAGGGGGUCGCGGCUGAUUAGCUAGUUGGUGAGGUAACGGCUCACCAAGGCGAAGAUCAGUAGCCGGCCUGAGAGGGGGCACGGCCACCAUGGAACUGAACACCGGUCAGACUCCUACGGGAGGCAGCAGUGGGGAAUUUUGCGCAAUGGGGGAAACCUUGACGCAGCAACGCCGCGUGGAGGAUGAAGUCCCUUGGGAUGUAAACUCCUUUCGAUCGGGACGAUAAUGACGGUACCGGAAGAAGAAGCACCGGCUAACUCUGUGCCAGCCGCCGCCGUAAAAC